AAGUCGUACGGGACGGAGGGGGCAACUCUUUCGUUCAGUGGCAGACGGGUGCGUAACACGUGAGGAACUUAUCCGAUGGCGGGGGAUAGCCGGCCCAACGGCCGGGUAAUACCGCGUAAGCUCGUUUGGGGGCAUCCCUGGGCGAGGAAAGCAGCCGCAAGGUUGCGCCGUCGGAGAGUCUCGCGGCCUAUCAGCUAGUUGGCGGGGUCACGGCCCACCAAGGCGACGACGGGUAGCUGGUCUGAGAGGAUGAUCAGCCACAUUGGGACUGAGACACGGCCCAGACUCCUACGGGAGGCAGCAGUGGGGAAUAUUGCGCAAUGGCCGCAAGGCUGGCGCAGCGACGCCGCGUGUGGGAUGACGGUCUUCGGAUUGUAAACCACUGUCAGGGGGAACGAAUACAGGGCCUCGAAUAGGGGACCCUGGGUGACGGUACCUCCAAAGGAAGCACCGGCUAACUCCGUGCCAGCAGCCGCGGUAAUACGGAGGGUGCGAGCGUUGUCCGGAAUCACUGGGCGUAAAGGGCGCGUAGGCGGUUCGGUAAGUUGUUGGUGAAAUCCCGGGGCUCAACUCCGGGGCUGCCAGCAAGA
rnacentral:rRNA from 1 species